AAAGUUUGAUCCUGGCUCASAGUGAACSCUGGCGGCGUGCUUAACAYAUGCAAGUCGAACGAWGAAGUCCUUCGGGAUGGAUUAGUGGCGCACGGGUGAGUAAUAUAUAGUUAAUGUACCUUCAAGACUGGGAUAGCCACUGGAAACGGUGAUUAAUACUAGAUAUACCUCUCUAACAUAAGUUAGAGUGGGAAAUGUUUUUUCGCUUGAAGAUCASACUAUAUCCCAUCAGUUUGUUGGUGAGGUAAUGGCUCACCAAGGCAAUGACGGGUAGCGGGUUUGAGAGGAUGAUCCGCCACACUGGUACUGAGACACGGACCAGACUCCUACGGGAGGCAGCAGUGAGGAAUAUUGCACAAUGGGGGAAACCCUGAUGCAGCAACGCCGCGUGGAGGAUGACGCAUUUCGGUGUGUAAACUCYUUUUAUGAGUCAAGAAAAUGACMGUAGCUCAUGAAUAAGCACCGGCUAACUCCGUGCCAGCAGCCGCGGUAAUACGGAGGGUGCAAGCGUUACUCGGAAUCACUGGGCGUAAAGGACGCGUAGGCGGGUUGGUAAGUCAGAUGUGAAAUCCUACAGCUCAACUGUASAACUGCAUUUGAAACUACCGACCUAGAGUAUGGGAGGGGGGAGAUGGAAUUAGUGGUGUAGGGGUAAAAUCCGUAGAUAUCACUAGGAAUACCMRAAAGCGAAGGCGAUCUCYUGGAACAUUACUGACGCUA
rnacentral:rRNA from 1 species